CCAGCUUGGUGGGGACAUCCUGCUCCGAGCGCCGGGGGUCAGGCGGGACAGCACCGCACCGCCCGCACCGCCAGCGGGCACCGCACCCCCGAAAUAUCCACGGGGACCCCCCAAAAUAUCCACGGGGACCCCCCCCAAAACAUCGUGUGACGCGGCUGGGGCUGCCCCCCACGCUCUGUCCCCACAGCGCUGUCCCCAAACGUGUCCCUGCCGCGAUGGGGACACGGGGUCCCCGAGGUGGGGGUGGUCUCGGGGUGCCCCCCGCUCCCUGCCGCGAUGGGGACAGGGGGUCCCGGAGGUGGGGGUGGUCUCGGGGUGUCCCCAACUCCCGGUGGCAAUAGGGACACGGGGUCCCGGAGGUGGGGGUGGUCU